rnacentral:lncRNA from 1 species
UUAUGUAUUAAAUACAUCAAAUUCACAGGGGACAUUCAUAUCGUCAUUCAUGUAUGGCCUGAGAGAUAAACACACAGGUUUUGCCAAAAGUCAAAUCAAAGCCCUAGUGCUAGGACUUUGAUUUAGAUAAUUGUAUCUUUAGUGGAGCAGAUGCCUGCAAAAUUACAAGCAUUGAGUAGCGGCGAAAUUCUGUUUUAAGGACAUUGUAAUUCUAAACGAACUGUCAGUUUUUAUUUUAGGGAGCUUUAGUAAUAUACCCAAAAUAGGGGUUGGAAUUAUAAAAAAAAACCUACAUGGAAUGCACUUUAGAAACAUACCCAAAAAUCAUUUACUACAUAUGAAAUUAGCAUUGAAGUUCCUCUAAAUUACAUCUCUGCCAUUGAUUAACUUAAAACAAGCCCAACACAAAAUUCCCAAAAAAAACUCAAAACAAGUCCAACAAGCCCAUCCCAUAUAUUUUUAAAAAAAAUCCAAACUUUAAAAUAAAAUAAAAAAAUUUUAAAAAAAAUCACGAAAACCAAGGGCAUGUCCCAUGACCCUUCAUUCUCCAUCAACCUCCG